UAUAAUAUAGUGUACGGUGCACUGAAGCCUUUGAAACUUUAAGAGUGAGUUCAAUUCUCACGUUUAUAA
rnacentral:tRNA from 1 species